ACUUUAAUUGAAGAGUUUGAUCAUGGCUCAGAUUGAACGCUGGCGGCAGGCCUAACACAUGCAAGUCGAGCGGUAACAUUUCAAAAGCUUGCUUUUGAAGAUGACGAGCGGCGGACGGGUGAGUAAUGCCUGGGAAUUUGCCCAUUUGUGGGGGAUAACAGUUGGAAACGACUGCUAAUACCGCAUA
rnacentral:rRNA from 1 species